UACGUAGGGUGCGAGCGUUGUCCGGAAUUAUUGGGCGUAAAGAGCUUGUAGGCGGUUUGUCGCGUCUGCCGUGAAAUUUCGAGGCUCAACCUCGAACUUGCGGUGGGUACGGGCAGACUAGAGUGUGGUAGGGGGAGACUGGAAUUCCUGGUGUAGCGGUGAAAUGCGCAGAUAUCAGGAGGAACACCGAUGGCGAAGGCAGGUCUCUGGGCCACUACUGACGCUGAGAAGCGAAAGCAUGGGGGAGCGAAACAGG
rnacentral:rRNA from 1 species